ensembl:snRNA U6 U6 spliceosomal RNA
AUAUUAAAAUUUGGCAGCACAUAUAUUAAAAUUGGAACGAUACAGAGAUUAGCAUGGCUCCUGAGCUUCUGACAUGCAAACUUGUGAAGCAUUCCAUAUAUAU